GACGAACGCUGGCGGCGUGCUUAACACAUGCAAGUCGAACGGAAAGGCCCUGCUUGCCGGGUACUCGAGUGGCGAACGGGUGAGUAACACGUGGGUGAUCUGCCCUGCACUUCGGGAUAAGCCUGGGAAACUGGGUCUAAUACCGGAUAGGAGCCAUUUUUAGUGUGAUGGUUGGAAAGUUUUUUCGGUGUAGGAUGAGCUCGCGGCCUAUCAGCUUGUUGGUGGGGUAAUGGCCUACCAAGGCGGCGACGGGUAGCCGGCCUGAGAGGGUGGACGGCCACAUUGGGACUGAGAUACGGCCCAGACUCCUACGGGAGGCAGCAGUGGGGAAUAUUGCACAAUGGGCGCAAGCCUGAUGCAGCGACGCCGCGGGGGGGAUGACGGCCUUCGGGUUGUAAACGCCUUUCGCUAGGGACGAAGCUUUUUGUGACGGUACCUAGAUAAGAAGCACCGGCUAACUACGUG
rnacentral:rRNA from 1 species